UCAAACUUCCCAGCACGGUGAUCAGUUGUGGUGACAGCUGAAGCAUCCUGACCACCUCCAAGCACAACAUGAUCAAGAAGAGGAGACAUUGUAACAGCAUUGACUGGACGUUCUGUCACAUAGGUCUUGAUAAGAGUCAACGUUCUGAUGUCCCAUAGCUUAGCAGACCUAUCUAGAGAACCAGUAAGGAAGUGUGAACCAUCAGAAGACUUUGUAAGAGAUGUUAUUGUCUUCUUAUGCCCAAUUUCCCGAUCUGACUCUUUCAGAAGCUUUCCAGUCUCAGAAUCCCAUAUGCGAAUUACAGCAUCCUCUCCAGCACUUAUGAUAGUCUCGUUCAGGGGUCCCCAAACAGCCCUGUUAAUUCUUCCCUGAGGGCCCUUGAGA
rnacentral:misc_RNA from 1 species